rfam:Paludibacter sp. 47-17 scnpilot_p_inoc_scaffold_29, whole genome shotgun sequence.
AGGUCUCGGGAAGCGAAAGCAUGUACCGAGAAGUCAGCCGAGGUCAUAGUAGUUACAAGAAAACGAGCCGGUAAGUGCCCGACAGCCAGACAACCGUAGGUCUCACAGCGUAAUGAAGGAC